rnacentral:RNase_P_RNA from 1 species
GGAGUCGGCCAGGCAAUCGCUGCCCGGUUAUCUCGGCAAUCAUCUUCGGAUAUUGGCGGGAGUCGGGGGGAGGAAAGUCCGGGCUCCAUAGGGUAGAGUGCCAGGUAAUUCCUGGGGGGCGCGAGCCUACGGAAAGUGCAGCAGAGAGUAGACCGCCUAAGUCUUCGAAAGGAGACCGGUAAGGGUGAAAGGGUGCGGUAAGAGCGCACCGCGCAACUGGUAACAGUUUGUGGCACGGUAAACCCCACUCGGAGCAAGACCAAAUAGGCCUUCAUUGGUGUGACCCGCACUGAAGGCGGGUAGGUUGCUAAAGAUGCAUGGUGACGUGUAUCGUAGAGGAAUGGUUGCCCACGACAGAACCCGGCUUAUCGGCCGACUCCCAAU